rnacentral:misc_RNA from 1 species
GAAAUGCGAUAAGUAAUGUGAAUUGCAGAAUUCAGUGAAUCAUCGAGUCUUUGAACGCACAUUGCGCCCCCUGGUAUUCCGGGGGGCAUGCCUGUCCGAGCGUCAUUGCUGCCCUCAAGCACGGCUUGUGUGUUGGGCCCCCGUCCCCCCCGGGACGGGCCCGAAAGGCAGCGGCGGCACCGCGUCCGGUCCUCGAGCGUAUGGGGCUUCGUCACCCGCUCUGUAGGCCCGGCCGGCGCCUGCCGACACCAUCAAUCUUUUUUCCAGGUUGACCUCGGAUCAGGUAGGGAUACCCGCUGAACUUAA